GAAGGUAUAACUCAGGGGUAGAGUGUAUACCUGGCAUGCCUGAGGUUCUGGGUUCAAUCCCUAGUACCUCCA
rfam:Camelus ferus unplaced genomic scaffold scaffold1338, whole genome shotgun sequence.